UUGGCGCCACUUUCAAAUCCUCCACUGACACAGAAUGAGAGUCCGGCUUCAAAUACAUUACACAUCACUUUAUUCAUUCUUUUCAUUUUAAUUGUAAGACAAGGAAUAUCUUUACAGUUUUUGUCUUUUGGACCCUUUUUCCCCUUUCGGAAGAGUUGAAUGUGUGACCCUCCCUCUGCUGUGGGCCUGCAGCAAAUUAGAUGACUGCACCAGAAAAUUCUCCUGUUACCUGACCUGGGAAAAGAAAGAGA